UACGGGGGGAGCAAGCGUUGUUCGGAUUUACUGGGCGUAAAGGGCGCGUAGGCGGUCGUGACAAGUCACUUGUGAAAUCUCCGGGCUUAACUCGGAACGGUCAAGUGAUACUGUCGGACUAGAGUACAGAAGGGGCAACUGGAAUUCUCGGUGUAGCGGUGAAAUGCGUAGAUAUCGAGAGGAACACCUGCGGCGAAGGCGGGUUGCUGGGCUGAUACUGACGCUGAGACACGAAAGCCAGGGGAGCAAACGGG
rnacentral:rRNA from 1 species